UACGUAGGGUGCAAGCGUUGUCCGGAAUUAUUGGGCGUAAAGAGCUCGUAGGCGGUUUGUCGCGUCUGCUGUGAAAACUCGGGGCUUAACUCCGGGCCUGCAGUGGGUACGGGCAGACUAGAGUGCGGUAGGGGAGACUGGAAUUCCUGGUGUAGCGGUGAAAUGCGCAGAUAUCUGGAGGAACACCAGUGGCGAAGGCGGCAUCCUGGCCCUGUCCUGACGCUCAGGGGCGAAAGCGUGGGGAGCAAACCGG
rnacentral:rRNA from 1 species